CUUUGCACCGCAUAUAUAGGUUCAUUGUGAACAUGAUUAAAAAGGGAAAUCGGUGUAAGUCCGAUACUGUCCCGCAGCUGUAAAUAGCAAAAUAUCAUACUAAUACUUGUGGGUUUUUCACAUUAAUAUAUAUAUAUAUAUCAGUAUGAACUAGCAAACAAAAGCCACUGCUUCCGUAAAGAGAAAUGGGAAGGCGAUUUGCUAGGGUUUAGCUAUAAGUCAGAAUACCUGCCUAUAUUAUUAAAACAUC
rnacentral:ncRNA from 2 species